GAAAUGCGAUAAGUAGUGUGAAUUGCAGAAUUCAGUGAAUCAUCGAAUCUUUGAACGCACAUUGCGCCCCUUGGUAUUCCAUGGGGCAUGCCUGUUCGAGCGUCAUUUGUACCCUCAAGCUCUGCUUAGUGUUGGGUGUUUGUCCCCGUCUCCGCGCGCGGACUCGCCCCAAAGUGAUUGGCAGCCGGCGUACUGGUCCCGGAGCGCAGCACAUGUCGCGCAAACGAGUGCCUUGGUACGGCGGCGUCCAUAAGCCCCUCUCUCACGCUCUUGACCUCGGAUCAGGUAGGGAUACCCGCUGAACUUAAGC
rnacentral:misc_RNA from 1 species